rnacentral:rRNA from 1 species
GAUGAACGCUGGCGGCGUGCCUAAUACAUGCAAGUCGAGCGAACGGACGAGAAGCUUGCUUCUCUGAUGUUAGCGGCGGACGGGUGAGUAACACGUGGAUAACCUACCUAUAAGACUGGGAUAACUGCGGGAAACCGGAGCUAAUACCGGAGAAUAUUUUGAACCGCAUGGUUCAAAAGUGAAAGACGGUCUUGCUGUCACUUAUAGAUUGAUCCGCGCUGCAUUAGCUAGUUGGUAAGGUAACGGCUUACCAAGGCAACGAUGCAUAGCCGACCUGAGAGGGUGAUAGGCCACACUGGAACUGAGACACGGUCCAGACUCCUACGGGAGGCAGCAGUAGGGAAUCGUCCGCAAUGGGCGAAAGCAUGACGGAGCAACGCCGAGUGAGUGAUGAAGGUCUUCGGAUCGUAAAACUCUGUUAUUAGGGAAGAACAUAUGUGUAAGUAACUGUGCACAUCUUGACGGUACCUAAUCAGAAAGCAACGGCUAACUACGUG